CGUGAGAUGUUGGGUUAAGUCCCGCAACGAGCGCAACCCUUGUCCUUUGUUGCCAGCGGGUAAAGCCGGGAACUCAAAGGAGACUGCCAGUGACAAACUGGAGGAAGGCAGGGAUGACGUCAAGUCAUCAUGGCCCUUACGGUCAGGGCUACACACGUGCUACAAUGGGGCGUACAGAGGGAAACGAUACCGCGAGGUGGAGUGGAACCCAAAAAGCCGUCCCUAAGUUCGGAUUGGAGUCUGCAACUCGACUCCAUGAA
rnacentral:rRNA from 1 species